UACGUAGGUGGCGAGCGUUGUCCGGAAUUACUGGGCGUAAAGGGCGUGUAGGCGGUCAAACAAGUCAGUUGUGAAACCCCCAGGAUCAACUUGGGGAUUGCAGUUGAAACUGCAGGACUUGAGGGCAAGAGAGGAAAGUGGAAUUCCUAGUGUAGCGGUGAAAUGCGUAGAUAUUAGGAGGAACACCAGUGGCGAAGGCGGCUGUCUGGACUGUAACUGACGCUGAGGCGCGAAAGCGUGGGGAGCAAACAGG
rnacentral:rRNA from 1 species